rnacentral:rRNA from 1 species
UACGUAGGAGGCAAGCGUUGUCCGGAAUUACUGGGCGUAAAGCGCGUGUAGGUGGUGGGACAAGUCUGCUGUGAAAGCGCCUGGCUUAACCGGGCGAGGUCGGCGGAAACUGUCCGACUCGAGGACGGUAGAGGGGGUGGAAUUCCCGGUGUAGUGGUGAAAUGCGUAGAGAUCGGGAGGAACACCUGUGGCGAAGGCGGCCCCCUGG